CAAAACACGCUUUAUAAGGGUGUGAAAACUUCUCUUUAGUAGAUGCGUCUUAAAAUCGUGAUGUUGACGAUUAUACGUAAUGGAUCAAAGCGGACAAUAUUUACUAGUUAUGAGCUUAGGCCGUUACACGUAGCUCAACAGAAAUAGAUCGAAUUUAUUAAAAAAUGGCUCGAAGGGCUCAGGUGCAAGGAACACAUAACAGCAUUGAAAACCAUAACACAAACAUUCAAGAAUUUGAGAAAGAAAAACUAAAUGAGAACACACUUCA